AGAGUUUGAUCAUGGCUCAGAUUGAACGCUGGCGGCAGGCCUAACACAUGCAAGUCGAACGGUAACAGGAAGAAGCUUGCUUCUUUGCUGACGAGUGGCGGACGGGUGAGUAAUGUCUGGGAAACUGCCUGAUGGAGGGGGAUAACUACUGGAAACGGUAGCUAAUACCGCAUAACGUCGCAAGACCAAAGAGGGGGACCUUCGGGCCUCUUGCCAUCGGAUGUGCCCAGAUGGGAUUAGCUUGUUGGUGGGGUAACGGCUCACCAAGGCGACGAUCCCUAGCUGGUCUGAGAGGAUGACCAGCCACACUGGAACUGAGACACGGUCCAGACUCCUACGGGAGGCAGCAGUGGGGAAUAUUGCACAAUGGGCGCAAGCCUGAUGCAGCCAUGCCGCGUGUAUGAAGAAGGCCUUCGGGUUGUAAAGUACUUUCAGCGGGGAGGAAGGGAGUAAAGUUAAUACCUUUGCUCAUUGACGUUACCCGCAGAAGAAGCACCGGCUAACUCCGUGCCAGCAGCCGCGGUAAUACGGAGGGUGCAAGCGUUAAUCGGAAUUACUGGGCGUAAAGCGCACGCAGGCGGUUUGUUAAGUCAGAUGUGAAAUCCCCGGGCUCAACCUGGGAACUGCAUCUGAUACUGGCAAGCUUGAGUCUCGUAGAGGGGGGUAGAAUUCCAGGUGUAGCGGUGAAAUGCGUAGAGAUCUGGAGGAAUACCGGUGGCGAAGGCGGCCCCCUGGACGAAGACUGACGCUCAAGUGCGAAAGCGUGGGGAGCAAACAGGAUUAGAUACCCUGGUAGUCCACGCCGUAAACGAUGUCGACUUGGAGGUUGUGCCCUUGAGGCGUGGCUUCCGGAGCUAACGCGUUAAGUCGACCGCCUGGGGAGUACGGCCGCAAGGUUAAAACUCAAAUGAAUUGACGGGGGCCCGCACAAGCGGUGGAGCAUGUGGUUUAAUUCGAUGCAACGCGAAGAACCUUACCUGGUCUUGACAUCCACAGAACUUUCCAGAGAUGGAUUGGUGCCUUCGGGAACUGUGAGACAGGUGCUGCAUGGCUGUCGUCAGCUCGUGUUGUGAAAUGUUGGGUUAAGUCCCGCAACGAGCGCAACCCUUAUCCUUUGUUGCCAGCGGUCCGGCCGGGAACUCAAAGGAGACUGCCAGUGAUAAACUGGAGGAAGGUGGGGAUGACGUCAAGUCAUCAUGGCCCUUACGACCAGGGCUACACACGUGCUACAAUGGCGCAUACAAAGAGAAGCGACCUCGCGAGAGCAAGCGGACCUCAUAAAGUGCGUCGUAGUCCGGAUUGGAGUCUGCAACUCGACUCCAUGAAGUCGGAAUCGCUAGUAAUCGUGGAUCAGAAUGCCACGGUGAAUACGUUCCCGGGCCUUGUACACACCGCCCGUCACACCAUGGGAGUGGGUUGCAAAAGAAGUAGGUAGCUUAACCUUCGGGAGGGCGCUUACCACUUUGUGAUUCAUGACUGGGGUGAAGUCGUAACAAGGUAACCGUAGGGGAACCUGCGGUUGGAUCACCU
rnacentral:rRNA from 1 species